rnacentral:rRNA from 1 species
GACGAACCGUGCGAACGUUGUUCGGAAUCACUGGGCUUCAAGGGCGCGUAGGCGGCUUGCCAAGUCCGGGGUGAAAUCCUCCAGCUUAACUGGAGAAGUGCCUUGGAUACUGGCGAGCUCGAGUGAGGUAGGGGCCGUUGGAACUUCCGGUGGAGCGGUGAAAUGCGUUGAUAUCGGAAGGAACGCCGGUGGCGAAAGCGAACGGCUGGACCUCUUCUGACGCUGAGGCGCGAAAGCUAGGGGAGCGAACGGG